GACCAUUGUCAGGGCCAGCCCUUGGUUGUCUGCGAAGGACACCCGCUUUUUCACCUUCUUCUCCUGGACAGCUGGGGCCACCAUUCCACUGGCUUCAUUCUUGCUGCUCAGCUGAAUACAAGGCCUCAGCGGUUUGCUGGGCUUUGGCGAGAUCUUAAAGGCAAACCUCUCUCGGCGCAAGGAAGGAGCCAUGCAGUUGUAUCUGUACUCGAUGUCCACAGCCAUCAUGGGGCUAGAUGAACAGGCUAGAACCCUGGAAAGGGAAGAGAAGAAAACAGCAGAGCAAUCAGAUCGGACAGAUGUGUAAAGGCAUCAUUCCAGCAGGGACCGGCAAACAAUGUUUCCUUUUAUCUAUGCCCACAUGGCGACAGAGACAAGACUCGCUAUGUUGCCCAGGCUGGUCUCACACUCCUGGCUCAAUCCAUCCUCCUGCCUUGGCCUCCCAAAGUGCUAGGAUUACAGGUCCACUUAUGCUCAGAUUCUCUUCUGCCUCUGCCGCCCCUGAGACAGCAAGACCAACCCCUUCUCCUCCUCUUCCUCCUCCUCAGCCUACUCAAUGUGAAGAGGAUGAGAAUGAAGACCUUUAUGAUGACCCACAUCCAUUUAAUGAAUAGUAAAUACAUUUUCUCUGUCCUAUGAUUUUCUUAA
rnacentral:antisense_RNA from 1 species